CCUACGGGGGGCAGCAGUGGGGAAUAUUGCACAAUGGGCGCAAGCCUGAUGCAGCCAUGCCGCGUGUAUGAAGAAGGCCUUCGGGUUGUAAAGUACUUUCAGCGGGGAGGAAGGUGUUGAGGUUAAUAACCUCAGCAAUUGACGUUACCCGCAGAAGAAGCACCGGCUAACUCCGUGCCAGCAGCCGCGGUAAUACGGAGGGUGCAAGCGUUAAUCGGAAUUACUGGGCGUAAAGCGCACGCAGGCGGUCUGUCAAGCCGGAUGUGAAAUCCCCGGGCUCAACCUGGGAACUGCAUUCGAAACUGGCAGGCUGGAGUCUUGUAGAGGGGGGUAGAAUUCCAGGUGUAGCGGUGAAAUGCGUAGAGAUCUGGAGGAAUACCGGUGGCGAAGGCGGCCCCCUGGACAAAGACUGACGCUCAGGUGCGAAAGCGUGGGGAGCAAACAGGAUUAGAUACCCCAGUAGUC
rnacentral:rRNA from 1 species